rnacentral:rRNA from 1 species
GAUGAACGCUGGCGGCGUGCCUAAUACAUGCAAGUCGAGCGAACAGACGAGGAGCUUGCUCCUCUGACGUUAGCGGCGGACGGGUGAGUAACACGUGGAUAACCUACCUAUAAGACUGGGAUAACUUCGGGAAACCGGAGCUAAUGCCGGAUAAUAUAUUGAACCGCAUGGUUCAAUAGUGAAAGACGGUUUUGCUGUCACUUAUAGAUGGAUCCGCGCCGCAUUAGCUAGUUGGUAAGGUAACGGCUUACCAAGGCAACGAUGCGUAGCCGACCUGAGAGGGGGAUCGGACACACUGGAACUGAGACACGGUCCAGACUCCUACGGGAGGCAGCAGUAGGGAAUCUUCCGCAAAGGGCGAAAGCUUGACGGAGCAACGCCGCGUGAGUGAUGAAGGUCUUCGGAUCGGAAAACUCUGUUAUUAGGGAAGAGCAAAUGUGUAAGUAACUAUGCACGUCUUGACGGUACCUAAUCAGAAAGCCACGGCUAACUACGUG